rnacentral:lncRNA from 1 species
CGGGACUGUGGAGCAUUGCAUGCCAAGGGAAGUUUGGACCUGACACGUGCUUGGGAAUUGAUGGGGACGGCCGACACAGGAAGCGACCCUUGUGGUGCGCGGAUGUCGUGAGAUUAGGUUCGCCAUGCAUGGUUAAGAAACUCGAAUCGAUUCGUCUGCCUCUCACAGUUUGAGACUGCUUGAUCGCUAUGUCACCCUGAGUAACAAAGGAAUCUGAUGAUGACAUGGUCUUGAUGAUGAUGUAUAUACCUUUUGGUUGGUUCUAUGGUUGCUUAGAAUAGGUUGCA